CAUACCUCUUGUGUCCUGCUAACUUCAGUCUGAUUUCAAACUCACUGUUGGAUAAGGCCUAAACUUUUACAAUAACUUUUUCCUAUUUUGAUUUAUAGUUAAUUAUAACUGUGAAUAUCUUCCUUUACUUUCUAUCUCAUCUCAGGGUUCAUUUUGCAUGAAUGAAAGUCCCGAGAAAAAAGCAGUUUUACCACAGAAAUAUACUCCCAAGAUGGUUGUUGAACUGAAGAUCAGGACAAACACUCUUGGCACUCACUGAGGAGCAGCUCUAGGGCUGCUCUGGGUACACUCCUCUCCCAAGAAGAAGAGAAGCUGGUGGGCACUCAGGCUUUCAUGUUGACCUCUGCUCUACACAAACUUAAAUCUGUUUUACAUCAGAAGCUGCAGGGACGGAAGAGUACAUGGGAAAAGAACAUGUCUGAGAGUUUAGAGAGGACCAGCUAAAUUUUUUGAGCUCCAGUGGGAUUGGUGACAUAACUAAAAAGCAACAAACAGCAGGUGAGAGGGAGGAUUUAAAUAUAAAUAAGGACACUUUGAAGCCAUAAGUUUUUAUUGAUCACAUUCACAUUUAC
rnacentral:lncRNA from 1 species